rnacentral:lncRNA from 1 species
CUCACAAGAGGGAUGUAAAUUUUGGAGCUUCCAACUAUUCUGCCCCUGUUUCUACCAGCCUUCUCCCUGAAUAUUCAGAGGGGCUUGGCAGGCCAUGGUUAAAGCAAAAUAGCAAGAUAAAACACAAAUGUUAUAAGGUUUAAGGUGGAGCUAGUGGAAACAAUGAAACGAUGUAACAUAGAAAACAAAAUGCAGAAAGAGUCCCUUGGAAACACAAGAAAGGUAGGAAAAAUCAGUAGCCACAGCACUGAUUUGUAAUUGAAUUCUUCCAAUCAAAUAUCCUAAUCUUUCUAAUCUUAAAUGUGACUUGAAAUAGACACAGGGUUCUUCUUUUCGGUUACUAUAGGAAAACGACUGGCAGCUGAUACUCUUACUGACUUCCAUGCUGUUUGGUAGUAAUUGGACAUGGAGUAAAAUGAGGUUUUUUUAAUUUCAAAUUUUAAACCACAAAAUAGUUAAAUUAUAAGCUAUGGAAGUUUUUAAAUAAAGAGCUGUCACCACAUUUCAUGUUUUACUUGGGGUCCCAGGACACAGAAUGAGUAAGUUCCUCCUAGACGUGGGGAGAGUCAUUCUAAUGUUUAUCUUUUCUGUGCAAUCUCUCUUGCAAAAGGAAAAGAUGUAAUGCUGAGGAUUCUGAGUCAUGAAUGGACUCUAAUGAUAUGGCCUGUAAAGCAUUGCUUGUAAGAGUCAUCAAUGUCAACUGGACUGACAAUAGCUUUUUGAUGACUUAUUUAUGCAGAAGGAUGAUAAAUAUGGGGAGAACAGCAACAAAAAGCCCAGGUUAAGAAAUAGUUGGGCUGAGGAUUUAGCUCAGUGGUUCCGCCGCCUGCAGAAGGACCCCAGUUCAAUCCCCGGUACCAAAAAAAAAAAAAUAGCAGGCCGGAGAUUUAGCUCAGUGGCACCGCGCCUGCCUUGCAAGUACGAGGUCCUUAGUUCAAUACCCAGUACCAAAAGAAAACAAAUCAAAAACGAAAUGCCAUUGCUUGUGGCAUAUAUAAACUGCCAAGUCUCUAGAGUCACCACCAGGGAAGUCACAGCGACUUAACCAGAAUAUAGAAGUGCAUUCAUUUAUACACACACACCAGAAAGCCAGCCUGCCUUAUGGGCCCUGCUCUAUUUUUUACUUCCUAACCAGGGAUUGUCCUCAGAUACAGCUUUGGGUAAAAGGAGCAUUAUUAACAAAGGGUGUUGAUAUCUGUAAUGAACAAUAAUAAUGAUCAGUUUAAAAGUCAGCCAGACUGCAGGAGGCCUUGACCUCCUGGAGGUUGAUAGCACUAAGG